GCACGAUUUUAUUUUUUAUUUUUUUAUUUACAGAUAGCCAGGGGCACACUACAACACAAUUUACAAAUUAAGCGUUUGUGUUUAGUGAGUCCGCCAGAUCGGAGGCAAUAGGGAUGACCAGGGACGGUCUCUUGAUAAGGUGCGUGACUUGGACCAUUUCCUGUGCUGCUAAGCAUUCAAAAUGUAAUGAGUACCUUUGAGUGUCAGGAAAAAUGUAUGGCGUAAAAAGUACAUUAUUUUCUUUAGGAAUGUAGUGGAGUAAAGGUUCUCAAAAAUAUAAAUAGUGAAGUAAAGCACAGAUAACGCAAAAAAACGACUUAUGUAGUAGGCUACUUUAUCGUAUUUUUACUUAAGUAGACUACUUUACACCACGGUGCGCAAACAAAUGUCAGGUGCUUGACCAGACCUAUUUCGAAAAUAAACUAGGGGCUCUAUUCAAUCUGUAUAGUGGAAAUUAAUCGUUACAGCGUGAUGGAAAUGUAAUAAAAGCAAUUUUCUCUCGUUAAACGGAGACUGCAUUCAAAGGAAACGCUGCAGAGGUCGGCUCAAUAGGAAAUUACUUUAAAUGUCCUAUACGGGAUGGAAUAGAGCCCUUGGUCUGUGCUUAUCUUGUCAACAUUGACACAGUUUAGCCACAUGGUUGAUACAAUGUUUAUUGUGGAUGCCUGGCCGACUUAAUUGCCCACAACAAGAUAAAAUAGACAAUCAAAUUGGAAUAGUCCACAGAUAAAAAUAAGAAAAUCAUAAUUGUUUACAAGUCAGGUAAAUUAUUGAGCUGAGUACAGAGAACACUGCCAAACAAUAAGCCACCACAUUUCUAGGCCUAGGCUACUCAAAUGUAUGUUAAAUAAAUAUGCAUACUCAGUUAUACGAAAAUAGUCAUACCUUUACUACUGUCACAAUGUAUAGUUUACAUUCAGUAUUUUAGAAACACAAAAAAACACGAGACUUCAUGAAACAUAUAUAAUAAUGCAAAGUAAACGCAAAUGCUUAAUAUAAUCAUAUACUGGGAACCUAUGAAAAACCAUCACAUCUUGAACUUUAUUUUUUCCAGAGUAAAUAGUCUGGAUUUAUUUUCUUGCUGGUCAUAAAGAAAGUGAAAUAUACUUAUUUUAACAGUUGUUUUCAAAUAGCCAUGGUUUAAAAUACAGUACAACAUUAUACAGUAAGGUCGUUCCACCAAUUAGGUGCCUUUUGAAUAGUGUAACACGCUGGGGAUAAAAACAUUUUAUUUCACUUAAUUUUAACAUUCUGUCACAAGGAGCACAUGUUCAACUUAACAAAAAAACUAAAUGUUCCCAUCUCAAGAGGUAAAAAAAAAAUGACUACAGUAAUCUGCAUGCCUAUUAAGUGCCAAAUAAAGUAACAAGGUUGGUAACUUAAAGCAGCCAUAAAUCCCCUUGUGACAGGGGGAAUGGAAGCUUGGUGUGUGCAACAAGGAGAGGCAAUUGAAUGCAAGCUUCACUAAAAACAUUGAAAUUGUUAAAAGAUUUCAAGCCUGUCUAUGGGCAACAUCUUAUGCUUUACCCACUCAGUGUUCCACCACAAAACACCAGAAAAUGACCCCAAAAAAUAGGAGAACGAGCUCACCUGAUUUGACUGUUCAAAGUUUAAUGUCUCUUUUAAAAAAAAUAUUUUAAAAGGAAUAGUUUCAGCAUAUUAAAAUAGUGUUCAGUUUACAUAACAGGGUUGACCUUAAAAUGAGGGACAGGGUUUUUCUUUACCUUAAAAUGUAUCACUAAUAACAUUAAAUAAAUAAAUAAUCUUCAGAAAUUACUUGGUCAAAGCGACAAAAUAACUAGGGCUUUACAAUGAUGAUGAAAUCCUGGAGAAAUGUUGGGGUUAAGAAGAGGGUUAACAUUUUCCUUGAGGUCACAGAGGAUAAACAGAGGGAGAUGUCAAAAUGCUGACUUUUGGCACUUUAGCAAGGUUUUAUUCAUAUUAAAAAUCAAAUGUAUUGAAAUCCCAUGUGGUCUAUAUUCAAUGGCACUUAAUUUAAGAGGCUUUUAAAAUGCACCAUUUGUGCACAAUUUCUACUUAAAAUAUCAAAGGGAAGCAAAAGGCACUCAUUUCGUGGAACAACCCUGUAGAAUUUUUCAAUGGCAAUUGUUAUGACUAUUAUAAAUAAUAGUUUUUAGUUGUGGCAUUGAAGCACCUCCUGGGGUAAAGGAAAUAGUUUGAUGCCAGUCGAAAUUGUCCCCAGAAUAACGCAAUCAACAAAUUCCUCCUCUAGUCAAUAAGGUUUCCAUUCAACCUUUGUAUGCAAGUAAAGUACGUCUAAUAAAAAAAAUGGUAUGACAGGCCUAAUGGAAACAGAACAAGUUUUGGUAAACUUUCCAAAUGUCUACAAAACAAAAUACACUAGACCAUGUAGGAUCUUUUUGUGUCGGUAAAAUUAAUUGUGCGAGAAAUGUCGGUGGAAACGCUUUUAGGCGCAAGUAUCGAUAUAAUAACCAUCAUAUUGAAGUAAACUUGGAGUCACACGACGGCAUGUGGUGUGGUCCUCCCACUACGACUCGCCGGGAAAGCAUGCAGUUUAUUAGCUACAGAUUAAAUAAAUUAUGAUGAAUUGAACAGGGUUGUGAAAGUGCAAGGUGAUGAGUUUAAUGCUCCUUUCCAAUAAAUAUCGAGGUUAUUAUUCUGGUGACAUGAUCAUCGAUGCUUCACUGCCGUUAGAAAAAUAAUAUCGCUCUUUAAUCCAUAAUAAUCUCAUCAUGUGACAUGAGCCCUAGCCAACCGCGCGCAGAUCCAUCGCUAUAUAACCCACAAUUGGUUGUACAGUUGAAAAUGCGAAGGAAUCGCAUUUGACGUGAAUUUUUUCAUUCGGUACAUGGGAAUUUAACCGCAAAUAUAAUUUGUAUGUGCUCUAUGUCAUUACGCACAGUCUUUUAUCCGCAACACGUCAAUUUGAUGGCAACACAUCUGUGUUGGGAAAAUGCGCGCAUUGUUUUUAUGCGGAUUUUAGAAUAUUCGCAUGAAAAUCUGUUGCCAAUUGGAUGGAAACCUAGCUACUGAUAAUGACAACACAUGAUGCUCCUUUCCAAUACAUAUUGGAGAGUCUUAUCCUGGUGAUAUGAUGAUCUAUGCUUGGCUGCCAUUUGACAAAUAAAAAUGAUCUCGCUCUUUAGUCCAUGAUAAUCUCAUCAUGUAGGCAACAGUAUACCCGCACUGUAUCUGCGAGCUGUUGGCUAGAGCGCACGUGCCAAUACCAGAGUGGGCAUAUUCGCGAUAACGCAACGUACUGUAUUUAGUGACCAAACCAUCAGUAGAGUUGAAAAUGCGAUGGAAACCUAUUUAGCUUGUUUGUUUGUUUUUGUCGGUACAUGGGAAUUUAACCACACAAGUUAUUUGUAUGUGCACUAUGUCAUCACUCACUAUUUUUUAUCCCCAACAAGUCCGUUUGGUGGAAUGAAAACACACAACUAGUGGGAAAAUGUGCAUAUUUUCUUUAUGCCGAUUUUAGAAUAUUUGCAUAAAAAUCUGUCUCCAUUUGGAUGGAAACCUAGCUACUGACAGUACUAAUGUGGAAGCUAUGGGAAGUUGGUAGAGACAAAUAUGCAAAGUAGAGGAGAACACACAGGGAGUGUAGAUGCCUAAUACUGUUGUCCUAUGCCUAGUCAAUCUCGAAUGGCUUUUUAUAUCAAUUGAUUAAUUACACAUUCCUAAUCUGUGGUGAUCUGGAUACAUUAAGUGGCAGUACUACAUUACGAAUGUACAGUUGAAGUCGGAAGUUUACACACACCUUAGCCAAAUACAUUUAAACUCAGUUUUUCACAAUUCCUGACAUUUAAUCCUUGUAAAAAUUCCCUGUUUUAGGUCAGUUAGGAUCACCACUUUGUUUUAAGAAUGUGAAAUGUCAGAGUAAUAGUAGAGUGAAUGACAUUUUUCAGCUUUUAUUUCUUUCAUCACAUUCCCAGUGGGUUAGACGUAUAAAUACACUCAAUUAGUAUUUGGUAGCAUUGCCUUUAAAUUGUUUAACUUGGGUAAAACGUUUGAGGAGCCUUGCACAAGCUUCCCACAAUAAAUUGGGUAAAUUUUGGCCCAUUCCUCCUGACAGAGCUGGUGUAACCGAGUCAGGUUUGUAGGCCUCCUUUCUCGCACAUGCUUUUUCAGUUCUGCCCACAAAUUUUCUAUGGGAUUGAGGUCAGGGCUUUGUGAUGGCAUCUCCAAUACCUUGACUUUGUUGUCCUUAAGCCAUUUUGCCACAACUUUGGAAGUAUGCUUGUGGUCAUUGUCCAUUUGGAAGACCCAUUUGCGACCAAGCUUUAAUUUCCUGACUGAUGUCUUGAGAUGUUGCGAAGUGCACCAGCCCCUCCUGCAGCAAAGCACCCCCAACAACAUGAUGCUGCCACCCCCGUGCGUCACGGUUGGGAUGGUGUUCUUCGGCUUGCAAGCCUCCCCCUUUAUCCUCCAAACAUAACGAUGGUCAUUAUGACCAAACAGUUAUAUUUUUGUUUUAUCAGACCAGAGGACAUUUCUCCAAAAGUACGAUCUUUGUCCCCAUGUGCAGUUGCAAACCGUAGUCUGGCUUUUUUAUGGCUGGUUUGGAGCAGUGGCUUCUUCCUUGCGGAGCGGCCUUUCAGGUUAUGUCGAUAUUGGACUCGUUUUACUGUGGAUAUACAGUAUCUCACAAAAGUGAAUACUGUAGAUACUUUUAUACCUGUUUUCUCCAGCAUCUUCACAGGGUCCUUUGCUGUUGUUCUGGGAUUGAUUUGUACUUUUCACACCAAAGUACGUUAAUCUCUAGGAUACAGAACGCGUCUCUUUCCUGAGCGGUAUGACAGCUGCGUGGUCCCACGGUGUUUAUACUUGCAUACUAUUGUUUGUACAGAUGAACGUGGUACCUUCAGAGGGUUUGGAAAUUGCUCCCAAGGAUGAGCCAGACUUGUGAAGGUCUACAAAUUUUUUUCUGACAUCUUGGCUGAUUUCUUUUGAUUUUCCUGUGAUGUCAAGCAAAGAGGCACUGAGUUUGAAGGUAGGCCUUGAAAUACAUCCACAGGUACACCUCCAAUUGACUCAAAUAAUGUCAAUUAGCCUGUCAGAAUCUUCUAAAGCCAUGACAUCAUUUUCUGGAAUAUUCCAAGCUGUUUAAAGGCACAGUCAACUUAGUGUAUGUAAACUUCUGACCCACUGGAAUUGUGAUACAGUGAAUUAUAAGUGAAAUAAUCUGUCUGUAAACAAUUGUUGGAAAAAUUACUUGUGUCAUGCACAAAGUAGAUGUCCUAACUGACUUGCCAAAACUAUAGUUUGUUGACAAGACAUUUGUGAAGUGGUUAAAAAAUGAGUUUUAAUGACUCCAACCUAAGUGUAUGUAAACUUCCGACUUCAACUGUAGUUGUAUAAACGUGAGUGUGUCUGUCUGUGUGGAGCAUAUAAGUUGUCAGUCCCCUUCUUCAAGAGACUACACAUUUGUUAAAAAGCUGCCAUAUUUUGUUGAGUCCAUAAGUCUGUAGGAACCUGUUGCAAAGGGGAGCUGGAGACAAGAAGGUGGACAGAAGCUGACUGUGGGAAAGGAACUGAGAGUAACCAGGGAACUUUUUCUUACUCAUCAAAAGAAAAGAUUCAUGAAGAUCUAACUUUGUAAGAGAAACAAUGGCUCCCCUGCCUACCGCUCAGCCCACACAGCCUGGUAUAGAUAAUGAGCAGUGGUACGGAGGCAGAACACUUAUUGUGUCAGCCAGGCUCUGGGCUCGCUCUCUGUCUGUGGUGAAGGCUGACAGGGGAGUCGUCCAGACUGCUCACUGAGUCCGACACACUGCCCUCCCCGGUCAGAGGUGAAUCUGGACCAGACACACGCACACAGUUCUUUUCACAAUUGUUGAGCACGUUAGUUUUCAGUGUACCUCUCCGUGGAAUAUAGUCCAUAGAAUAUUGCUUUAACUGUGUUCUUGAGCUGCUUUCUUUGUCAACGGUAGCCAACGUCCCAGUCCUGUGCACAACAAAGCCUGCCCACAGUUACCUUCUACUAAGGCAUUGCCCAUUUUUUUUUUUUUUCUGUUGAUGCAGUGCUCACUGAUGCAAGAUGCCCCAAAUGAUAACAGAUAGUAGUCAUA
rnacentral:lncRNA from 1 species